CGGUUGUCAUGGGCUCGAUGGGAGUUUCGGGUCGUGACAAGAUACACAGCCAGACGGAUCAUUACUCUUGAAGAGGUCCCUUCCAUAUCUUUCAAUAGGUGUUGGUGAAAGAUAUCUGAUAGGUGUUACCUUCAAUUUGUGUCCAUUUCAUUGUCCGUGUCUAGUUAUAUGUUGUAUUUAUGAUGAGUUCAAAUACAUUGUCUUGUAGCCAAGAUUUGGCUUGUUGAAUAUUAAUUUUGCAAUGAUGGUGUUGGCUUACAUCGAGUUAUAAAUGUUGUCAUUUGACUAUGUUAUUGUGGUUGUGAUGAGCACAUGAGAUGUGUAUUGAAAUGUCAAUGUUAGAUGUGUUA